UACGUAGGGCGCAAGCGUUAUCCGGAAUUAUUGGGCGUAAAGAGCUCGUAGGCGGUCUGUCGCGUCGAUCGUGAAAACUUGGGGCUUAACCCUGAGCUUGCGGUCGAUACGGGCAUGACUGGAGUUCGGCAGGGGAGGACUGGAAUUCCUGGUGUAGCGGUGAAAUGCGCAGAUAUCAGGAGGAACACCGAUGGCGAAGGCAGGUCUCUGGGCCGAUACUGACGCUGAGGAGCGAAAGCGUGGGGAGCGAACAGG
rnacentral:rRNA from 1 species